UCCGGCAGGCCGAGGCAGCGCCGGUUACCAGUCACUCUCUGAUCCGUCACAUGUCGGGCCUCUGGGUGGGAGAACACCUGGAUGCAGGAAGCCGCCACUUGCUUGUCACGCUUUGUUUUAGUUUAACUAACAGCAGAAACUGAAGCUGAAGCGUUUAAAAAAUAAAUCAUGUCCCUCAGUUCUUUACUGUGUUUUAAUAAAAAGAAAACACAGCAGAACAUUUAAACGCAGUCGCUAAGCGGCCAUGAUGGAAUUUAUCCACCAGAACAAAAGAAUUUGCUGAGUCACUGGUUGCUAUGACGACUCCCGCCUUUUCUGGGACGACAAGUUCUCUGGACAGGAAGUUACUGUUUAAAAUCCAAACGGACUUUCUAAAACUCAACCAGACUGAAGUGACGUUUUUUCUGCAGAUGUAGAUUAUUUGGACAAAUAUAAGAAGUCAGGGUUAAAAACCUCAGGUUUUGAGUGGAUGCAGGUCUUAUAUUUUUAUUUUAUGAGCUGUGCUAACCCAUCCUCACUACGACUCAGCUGGAUUACUGUCCUGCGCUUCCUGUGGCGGGUCGUGUUUUUACUCUCUCUGCCGCCGCAGCGCAUCGUGAACAUGAGCACUUCUCCCCGUUUCAGCUUCACUCCACUGGAGUCCCAGACAUCACAAGCUUCUCCUUCCCGCCGCACCAUUAAGCUCUGCACCCACCAACCCACUCCGCCCUCCAUCAGCUGAGGAUCAAACUGGAUCGUAUGGAUCAGCGAUGAUGACCAGAAGAAAUGGACUCUGAUUACAUAAACCUGCAUUGGUUACAGACAAUAAUGGAGGUCAAAUUAAAUAAACUUUCUGUAUUGA